UUACCUACGGGGGGCAGCAGUGGGGGAUAUUGCACAAUGGGGGAAACCCUGAUGCAGCGACGCCGCGUGUGGGAAGACGGUCCUCUGGAUUGUAAACCACUGUCCCCAGGGACGAAGAUGACGGUACCUGGGGAGGAAGCUCCGGCUAACUACGUGCCAGCAGCCGCGGUAAUACGUAGGGGGCAAGCGUUGUUCGGUAUGACUGGGCGUAAAGGGUGUGUGGGCGGUGUAGCAAGUUAGAAGUGAAAUACCUAGAGCUUAACUCAGGUGCUGCUUCUAAAACUGCUAUACUUGAGUGCAGUAGA
rnacentral:rRNA from 1 species